UACAGAGGUCUCAAGCGUUGUUCGGAUUCAUUGGGCGUAAAGGGUGUGUAGGUGGCGCGCUAAGUCGGGUGUGAAAUUUCGGAGCUUAACUCCGAAACUGCAUUCGAUACUGGCGUGCUUGAGGACUGGAGAGGAGACUGGAAUUCAUGGUGUAGCAGUGAAAUGCGUAGAGAUCAUGAGGAAGACCAGUGGCGAAGGCGGGUCUCUGAACAGUUCCUGACACUGAGGCACGAAGGCCAGGGGAGCAAACAGG
rnacentral:rRNA from 1 species